UGAAUUGAAAAUUAUUAGGUGAGUUUUGACAUUGGAAUUGAAAGAUUUAGCUUAAGUGCUGAAAUUGAGGGUUAUAAUGCAGCUUUUGGUAUUUUUUUGGUAAUUAGAUCCUUGAGGUAGUGUUGUUGCUAAUUCAGAGUGAUCUUGGUUGGCCUCGACAGGGAUUCCAGUAGUUGAGGGCUGUCGUCGAGCCGUUUUGAGGUGGGUUAAUCAUCGGUUUUUUCUCCUAAGUGCAUGCGUAGUCAACGUGUAUAUUUUCAGCCUUUGUAUAUCAUGUUUUUAGCUCGAAUUCAUCGAUUAUCAUAUUAAACGAAAUCUGAAUUUGGAGCAUACUGAAAUAAGUUAGAUAAAUAAUACAUGUUGGACUUGGAUUUGACUUAGGAGAAAACUAGCGCUUCUACACUGUCAUAUAUUAAAACUACCAGAUUUAGCUCUAGAAGCCGUAGUUUGUUUGUAUCACCGCAGUUUGUAGGCGGUGGAUAUUCAGGAUAGUGUAGAAUAUGUUUACGCUCAUGCUGGGAUGUCGGGCUUAUUUUUACAGCAGUGUUUAGGCUGUUCCGGACUGUCGGGUGCCGUUGGGGUUAACGGUAGACCCAGAUUGCUGUUUUCG
rnacentral:lncRNA from 1 species